rnacentral:rRNA from 1 species
AACGAACGCUGGCGGCAGGCUUAACACAUGCAAGUCGAGCGCCCCGCAAGGGGAGCGGCAGACGGGUGAGUAACGCGUGGGAAUCUACCCAUCCCUACGGAAUAGCUCCGGGAAACUGGAAUUAAUACCGUAUACGCCCUACGGGGGAAAGAUUUAUCGGGGAUGGAUGAGCCCGCGUUGGAUUAGCUAGUUGGGGGGGUAAAGGCCUACCAAGGCGGCGAUCCAUAGCUGGUCUGAGAGGAUGAUCAGCCACAUUGGGACUGAGACACGGCCCAAACUCCUACGGGAGGCAGCAGUGGGGAAUAUUGGACAAUGGGGGCAACCCUGAUCCAGCCAUGCCGCGUGAGUGAUGAAGGCCUUAGGGUUGUAAAGCUCUUUCACCGGGGAAGAUAAUGACGGUACCCGGAGAAGAAGCCCCGGCUAACUUCGUGCCAGCCGCCGCAGUAACAC